UACGUAGGGAGCAAGCGUUAUCCGGAUUUAUUGGGUGUAAAGGGUGCGUAGACGGAGAAGCAAGUUAGUUGUGAAAUCCCUCGGCUUAACUGAGAAACUGCAACUAAAACUACUUCCCUUGAGUACUGGAGAGGAAAGUGGAAUUCCUAGUGUAGCGGUGAAAUGCGUAGAUAUUAGGAGGAACACCAGUGGCGAAGGCGACUUUCUGGACAGUAACUGACGUUGAGGCACGAAAGUGUGGGGAGCAAACAGG
rnacentral:rRNA from 1 species